CCCGUCACAUCNCGAAAUGGGCUGUACUAGAAGUCGUCGCGCUGACCGCAAGGAGGCAGACGCCAAGGUAUGGCUCAUGAUUGGGUG
rnacentral:rRNA from 1 species